UGAACUUUGCUGCAGUUCGCAUAAAGGACAGC
rnacentral:piRNA from 1 species